ensembl:lncRNA
GAAUAAGUCCACACAAUUCUUAGACCUAACCAGUAACAAGCAAUAGAGAAGACCUGGGCACUUUUGAAACUGACCAAAGACAGUAUGAGAGCCAGAUGUCAGGCAGGGAAGAGAGACCAUCUUAAAAGAUGAUUUCCUCUGCCACAAAAUCAAGAAAUGCAUCAAAUAUUGAAGGCAGGUUUUCAGUCUGAAGUGAAACCCGACAAAGAAGAAAAGGGCCCAAGCCUGGCGAGAAGUCGGAAGAGGAUGCUGGAUCUUCUGAAACUGGUUGUAAGCCACCAUGCGUGUACUGAGAAUUGAACCCAGAGCCUCUUUUUGACAAAGUAACACUAAUAGAGGAGUGCUGGAAGAGCCCAGUGAAUGUCAGCUGUGACAGUGACUGGACACAGUGUAUGGAAAAACAACUAACAAAGGAUGAUCUAAACCACUGCAAAAGUUUAUUGCACGAUUAUGGUGAACAAGGCACGGGACGUUACAGAGAACACCAAGAACUCCGAGUCCCAGGAGAGAAGAAAAAUGCCAGCCGGGGAGAUGAGUUGUGGGCGCAUAGAAAAAGAGCCUUAAGGCUGCAUCUUGUGACAGUGCAGAGCAGGGAGCAGAGUCGUUAACUUGGAGAGACUGCUUCCAUCAGUCUCAGAUGGGACUUUUAAAGGAUUUGUGAAGUAUAGAAAACAUGGGGACAUCAAAGAAUCCCAGCAUUUUUUUUUUUUAAAGUAUGGCUAUAGGAAAGCUCAAAGCUCAUCUAGAAAACCCCCUGCCCCAGGCUUCCAAGACCUGGGAUUAUGGGGACAAUUCACCACGCGGGGCUUCAACAGGGCUGUUACUUCAAAGAGUGGUGCAAGUCCUUAUGGACCACAAGGAAAGAUCUUCCAAGGCGCUUUUUCUCCUACUUCCCCUCAAUCUCUUAAGACUGAUGUACCCAGAACUCGAUCCUUUCUCUUCUCGUUCAUCUUCACUUCCUCCAUUGCUGAUAUCAUCCAGCUUCAAAGACAUAAAUGCCUUCUAUACUGUAAAUGCUCGGAC